GGGUUGUGAGGUUAAGCGACUAAGCGUACACGGUGGAUGCCCUGGCAGUCAGAGGCGAUGAAGGGCGUGCUAAUCUGCGAUAAGCGCCGGUAAGGUGAUAUGAACCGUUAUAACCGGCGAUACCCGAAUGGGGAAACCCAGUGUGAUUCGUCACACUAUCAUUAACUGAAUCCAUAGGUUAAUGAGGCGAACCGGGGGAACUGAAACAUCUAAGUACCCCGAGGAAAAGAAAUCAACCGAGAUUCCCCCAGUAGCGGCGAGCGAACGGGGAGGAGCCCAGAGCCUGAAUCAGCAUGUGUGUUAGUGGAAGCGUCUGGAAAGGCGCGCGAUACAGGGUGACAGCCCCGUACACAAAAGCGCAUGUGCUGUGAGCUCGAUGAGUAGGGCGGGACACGUGGUAUCCUGUCUGAAUAUGGGGGGACCAUCCUCCAAGGCUAAAUACUCCUGACUGACCGAUAGUGAACCAGUACCGUGAGGGAAAGGCGAAAAGAACCCCGGCGAGGGGAGUGAAAAAGAACCUGAAACCGUGUACGUACAAGCAGUGGGAGCNNNNNNNNNNNNNNNNNNNNNNNNNNNNNNNNNNNNNNNNNNNNGGGCGUUAAGUUGCAGGGUAUAGACCCGAAACCCGGUGAUCUAGCCAUGGGCAGGUUGAAGGUUGGGUAACACUAACUGGAGGACCGAACCGACUAAUGUUGAAAAAUUAGCGGAUGACCUGUGGCUGGGGGUGAAAGGCCAAUCAAACCGGGAGAUAGCUGGUUCUCCCCGAAAGCUAUUUAGGUAGCGCCUCGUGAAUUCAUCUCCGGGGGUAGAGCACUGUUUCGGCUAGGGGGCCAUCCCGGCUUACCAACCCGAUGCAAACUGCGAAUACCGGAGAAUGUUAUCACGGGAGACACACGGCGGGUGCUAACGUCCGUCGUGAAGAGGGAAACAACCCAGACCGCCAGCUAAGGUCCCAAAGUCAUGGUUAAGUGGGAAACGAUGUGGGAAGGCCCAGACAGCCAGGAUGUUGGCUUAGAAGCAGCCAUCAUUUAAAGAAAGCGUAAUAGCUCACUGGUCGAGUCGGCCUGCGCGGAAGAUGUAACGGGGCUAAACCAUGCACCGAAGCUGCGGCAGCGACACUGUGUGUUGUUGGGUAGGGGAGCGUUCUGUAAGCCUGCGAAGGUGGCCGUGAGGGUUGCUGGAGGUAUCAGAAGUGCGAAUGCUGACAUAAGUAACGAUAAAGCGGGUGAAAAGCCCGCUCGCCGGAAGACCAAGGGUUCCUGUCCAACGUUAAUCGGGGCAGGGUGAGUCGACCCCUAAGGCGAGGCCGAAAGGCGUAGUCGAUGGGAAACGGGUUAAUAUUCCCGUACUUGGUGUUACUGCGAAGGGGGGACGGAGAAGGCUAUGUUGGCCGGGCGACGGUUGUCCCGGUUUAAGCGUGUAGGUGUGUGUUCCAGGUAAAUCCGGUUCACUUUAACACUGAGGCGUGACGACGAGGCACUACGGUGCUGAAGCAACAAAUGCCCUGCUUCCAGGAAAAGCCUCUAAGCAUCAGGUAACAUCAAAUCGUACCCCAAACCGACACAGGUGGUCAGGUAGAGAAUACCAAGGCGCUUGAGAGAACUCGGGUGAAGGAACUAGGCAAAAUGGUGCCGUAACUUCGGGAGAAGGCACGCUGACACGUAGGUGAAGUGAUUUACUCAUGGAGCUGAAGUCAGUCGAAGAUACCAGCUGGCUGCAACUGUUUAUUAAAAACACAGCACUGUGCAAACACGAAAGUGGACGUAUACGGUGUGACGCCUGCCCGGUGCCGGAAGGUUAAUUGAUGGGGUCAGCGCAAGCGAAGCUCCUGAUCGAAGCCCCGGUAAACGGCGGCCGUAACUAUAACGGUCCUAAGGUAGCGAAAUUCCUUGUCGGGUAAGUUCCGACCUGCACGAAUGGCGUAAUGAUGGCCAGGCUGUCUCCACCCGAGACUCAGUGAAAUUGAACUCGCUGUGAAGAUGCAGUGUACCCGCGGCAAGACGGAAAGACCCCGUGAACCUUUACUAUAGCUUGACACUGAACAUUGAGCCUUGAUGUGUAGGAUAGGUGGGAGGCUUUGAAGUGUGGACGCCAGUCUGCAUGGAGCCGACCUUGAAAUACCACCCUUUAAUGUUUGAUGUUCUAACGUGGACCCGUUACCCGGGUUGCGGACAGUGUCUGGUGGGUAGUUUGACUGGGGCGGUCUCCUCCUAAAGAGUAACGGAGGAGCACGAAGGUUGGCUAAUCCUGGUCGGACAUCAGGAGGUUAGUGCAAUGGCAUAAGCCAGCUUGACUGCGAGCGUGACGGCGCGAGCAGGUGCGAAAGCAGGUCAUAGUGAUCCGGUGGUUCUGAAUGGAAGGGCCAUCGCUCAACGGAUAAAAGGUACUCCGGGGAUAACAGGCUGAUACCGCCCAAGAGUUCAUAUCGACGGCGGUGUUUGGCACCUCGAUGUCGGCUCAUCACAUCCUGGGGCUGAAGUAGGUCCCAAGGGUAUGGCUGUUCGCCAUUUAAAGUGGUACGCGAGCUGGGUUUAGAACGUCGUGAGACAGUUCGGUCCCUAUCUGCCGUGGGCGCUGGAGAACUGAGGGGGGCUGCUCCUAGUACGAGAGGACCGGAGUGGACGCAUCACUGGUGUUCGGGUUGUCAUGCCAAUGGCACUGCCCGGUAGCUAAAUGCGGAAGAGAUAAGUGCUGAAAGCAUCUAAGCACGAAACUUGCCCCGAGAUGAGUUCUCCCUGAGACUUAGAGUCUCCUGAAGGAACGUUGAAGACGACGACGUUGAUAGGCCGGGUGUGUAAGCGCAGCGAUGCGUUGAGCUAACCGGUACUAAUGAACCGUGAGGCUUAACCUUACAACGCCGAAG
rnacentral:rRNA from 1 species